rnacentral:rRNA from 1 species
UCGCGGCCUAUCAGCUUGUUGGUGGGGUAACGGCCUACCAAGGCAACGACGGGUAGCUGGUCUGAGAGGACGAUCAGCCACACUGGGACUGAGACACGGCCCAGACUCCUACGGGAGGCAGCAGUGGGGAAUCUUGCGCAAUGGGCGAAAGCCUGACGCAGCAACGCCGCGUGAGGGACGAAGGUCUUCGGGUUGUAAACCUCUUUCAGCAGAGACGAUUGUGACGGUACCUGCAGAAGAAGCUCCGGCCAACUACGUGCCAGCAGCCGCGGUAAUACGUAGGGAGCGAGCGUUGUCCGGAUUCAUUGGGCGUAAAGAGCUCGUAGGCGGCUCGGUAAGUUGGGUGUGAAACCUCCAGGCUUAACCUGGAGACGCCACUCAAUACUGCCGUGGCUAGAGUCCGGUAGGGGACCACGGAAUUCCUGGUGUAGCGGUGAAAUGCGCAGAUAUCAGGAGGAACACCGGUGGCGAAGGCGGUGGUCUGGGCCGGCACUGACGCUGAGGAGCGAAAGCGUGGGGAGCGAACAGGAUUAGAUACCCUGGUAGUCCACGCCGUAAACGUUGGGCACUAGGUGUGGGGGAUUAUCAACGUCCUCCGUGCCGUAGCUAACGCAUUAAGUGCCCCGCCUGGGGAGUACGG